rnacentral:rRNA from 1 species
GCGUUGUCCGGAAUUAUUGGGCGUAAAGAGCUCGUAGGCGGUCUGUACGACAUGUGUGAAAGCCCCCGGCUCAACUGGGGAGAGUCAUGUGUAACGGCAGAGCUAACGAGUGCAGGAGAGGGAAGUGGAACUCCGGGAGUAGCGGUGAAAUGCGUAGAUACCCGGAGGAAUACCAGUGGCGAAGGCGGCUUCCUGAUCUGCGACUGACGCUGUGGCACGAAAGCUA